rnacentral:rRNA from 1 species
GAUGAACGCUGGCGGCGUGCCUAAUACAUGCAAGUCGAGCGAACGGACGAGAAGCUUGCUUCUCUGAUGUUAGCGGCGGACGGGUGAGUAACACGUGGAUAACCUACCUAUCAGACUGGGAUAACUUCGGGAAACCGGAGCUAAUACCGGAUAAUAUUUUGAACCGCAUGGUUCAAAAGUGAGAGACGGUCUUGCUGUCACUUAUAGCUGGAUCCGCGCUGCAUUAGCUAGUUGGUAAGGUAACGGCUUACCAAGGCAACGAUGCCUAGCCGACCUGUGAGGGUGAUCGGCCACACUGGAGCUGAGACACGGUCCAGACUCCUACGGGAGGCAGCAGUAUGGAAUCUUCCGCAAAGGGCGAAAGCCUGACGGAGCAACGGCGCGUGAGUGAUGAAGAUCUUCGGAUCGUAAAACUCUGUUAUUAGGGAAGAACAUAUGUGUAAGUAACUGUGCACAUCUUGACGGUACCUAAUCAGAAAGCCACGGCUAACUACGUG